CUUCCAUUGAAGGCACGUGGUGCUCAGCCCUAAAAUGCUUUGGCAAUACUUAGCAUGUUGGGAUUUUCCUCUAUAAAUAUCAGAGCGUGUUACAAAGUGGCAUGUGAUCCUCUUCCAUGAGCCACCAGCUUCCCUGAUGUAGGAAGAACUCUCCUCUGGACUACCAUUGGGUUCUCCUAGCACCCAACUGUGAAACCCUAAAACUAAAGAUGACUGAGCCACCCAGAUUUUAAUGGACACUGCAACCCUAAGACCUCCAUGGAGAAGUUCGUGUUAAGAAUGCUGUGUUCGAUUCUGUGCUUCUCCUGUGGCAGCACUACCUGAUGUGAUAUUCAGGAUUUCUGCAAGACAGUGGGUGAAUAUGAUAACAGAUAGACUUCAUAAGAACUGCAGACUUAAACCAUAGUCUCAGUAAGAAGCCAGCGGUAGGUUACAUCUCUCCAUGGCCAGACUGGAGGACUUGCUCACAGCUUUAACUCUGUCAAGAGAUCAUGAUCUGUUUCCUUUCUCACUCAGGUAAAAGGCAGUGUCUGUGUUUGGAGGGCUGGGUUCAGCUGAUAACAUCUCUCUGUCUAGGACUCAUCACUGCACACGCACUGUUCCUGUUCUUUGGGCUAAAUAGGGGAACUGAAAGGGUUAUUUGGGAAUACAAAGCCAUGUCCCAACUUGAUAUUUCUUUAGUGCCUUUAUUGUCAUGACCACCUGUGACUUUGUCUAAAAUUGACACAGUUACGCUCAAACCUCCUGCAUCUACCUGUCUCCCCCUCACAUGCUUUGUCAUUCUCUUAAUCCUGCAAGCUCUCUGCUUCAUUCUCUCUCACAUCUCCAUGACUUUUCAUAUU